AGCUUUGCGCAGUGACAGUAGCGUAGCCAAUGAGGUUUAUCCGAGGCGUGAUUAUUGCUAAUUGAAAACUUUUCCUAAUACCCCGCCAUGAUGACUUGAAAUAUAGUCGGCAUUGGCAAUUUUUGACGGUCUCUACGGAGA
ensembl:snRNA U4 U4 spliceosomal RNA